rnacentral:lncRNA from 1 species
CCGCGAAGCGCAGUGUUUUAACUAAGAGCCAGCUCAGUCACCCACUGGGGAUGGGCCACAGUAGGGACCCUGGAAUUCUGAGCCCAGGCAUAAUGCCUGCCUUGGCAAAGCAAACAUCCACAGGUCUUCCUGUUCCAGUUCUUUUUCGGUUGUCAUGCUGGACAUCUUGGCUUUUUCUUGGCUGCAUCUGAGCACGGAAUCUCUGGCCUGGUCUCUAUAUGAUUCUCAAUGACUGAUUUCAAGACACAUUCCGGACAGUACAACCCAGAUCUGCGUGCUGAGACAUCACUCUCAGGUUGUAAAUUCUACACCAAAUCAAAAGGCCAAAUCCUUUCUGCAAACCCACAG